GUCUGACAAAAUGGAGGGAGAAACAACAUAACCUUCAUUUGAUUUUUUUCUCUUAUUUCAGUGCAAGUGAAGCAGAAUGUGUUUGAGAUCACUAUAGUUACUCUGGGUUUUCGUACAUAAAAUGAAGACCAGAAUUCAGCAUGCAAAAAAGAUCCUUUCUGCAUGCGCAUUUGUUCAGAUGGGGUGCAACACCAUUUACUGCUAGACAGAAGGGCUUCAAGCAUUCUCUCAGGUUUGUUCACAUUCAGCACUAUGGAAGACAGAAUAUCCUAAUAAACCCGGGAGGAUUUUGUGUGUGUAAUGCCACUUUCAUUCUAGCUAACGCAGAGGUUGUUUUUACCAUCUCAGCCCAUCAACAGAAUAACAUCAAUGCAAAAUGUAGCACAGUAAAGCAAACUGUAUCACAGAAACAAAA
rnacentral:lncRNA from 1 species